CAGGAACUCUGCCAGUGGGGGGAAUUUGACAGCCUAAGACCUCAGAGCCAGAUUUAUGGAAAAUGGCACCAUUGGCUAACUUGUAUUUUGAUGCCCUCCCACUCCCCUAAAGUAGUGGUGCUGCUGCAGGCAGAGGUAGAGGCAGGUGGGUAAGGCUGAGGGGCACAGUCUGGCAUGGACACAGAGCAGCAUGGUGUGCCAGGUGAGCAGGCACUACUGCUGCUGUGCAGGAGCAAGCUCUACUUUAUUGCCUACCAGAUUUAUUACUAGAGAUGUUCACAUCAUAAAAUAAAGAUAUCAGUUUGCAUGGAUUGCUAUUUGGCACCCUGAUUCACUGUCUCAACAGACAAGAUGCUCAAAAAAUGAGAGCAGAACUUUCAGCUGGACAAAGAUAAAUUGGGGUCAAAACAACAUCAGGAAGACUGCCCUGCCACUGCCAGUGCUUUACCUGGUUGGUACAUACAGAGAACAUCAGGAAAGAUCAUAAUAAAAGUAUUUCACUACAUCUGUUAUCUUUUGAAUUAUGAUAUCACUAAGUAGGCCAACUAACCCUUUAAUUAUAACAUCCAGGAAAUAGGGAAGCUUCAAGGACAUGUAUUCAUAAUGUUUUACAAGCCAUAAGACUCAGGGAGUUGUUUGUAUAUGUUAUAUCACUGUUAUAGAAGCUACUUUAUUUAAUGUCUUCACAUGGGAAGAUGUCAUGCAUCACACACAUAUUUGCUUUAAAAUUAAACUGAAACACUUUCAAAAAAGGCUCUUUGACAAAGACGUUGAGGAAUCUCCCUAUCGUGCUUUUGAAACCUUGUUAUGUGAAACAGACCUGACUUGAGCAUAUUAAAUUUUUGAUGCCACAGGGGAGGUACAAUUAAAUCUGAUAUCCAAUGGCAUAUUGGUUGUUUGGUAAAAAUACCAUAUAUUGGAGAAGAAAAAUAUCUAUUGUUAUUGUCAAUAAAUAAUUUAUUCAGGCCUUAAUGUUGUUGUCUUUGCAAUGUAUUACUCAUAAUAGACUUGCUACAGUGCCAAUAUGUAUUGCAAUAUCCCAAUAGGAACUGUUCAGAUAAAUCUGACCUUGCAUUUUAUCAACAACAUAGAAAAAGGAACCAGAACAAUCUAAACAAUGUUUAACACCUUUAGCAUCUGUUUGAAAGCAAAAAUGAAAACUAACGUUCUCUUAGAUAGCUCAUUCACUGUUUAUCUUGAUGAAGGGAAAACAAGCAACAGAACAACUGUUGAACUGAAUUACAAUAAAAUGUAUGCUUUUCAGGCAGAAGAGCACAAAAUCAGUUUUCAUUUGGCAUGCUAACUAUGCUAUAUUUGAACAGAAUGUUACAUAUUCAUUUCAUUCAUCAUUUAAAGGCAGAUAAUCAGGAAGUCAUUAUGUGGCCUACAUUGGGCAGCUAUUCGAUUAUAGCAUAAUUGAGCACUCUGUAAUGCAGCCAAAGCUGACAGGUUGGGAAUGCAUAAUAUCCUUCCCAUGAUAUUUUGAAGGGGCGGGGUGGGGAAAAGUAUAGGAAAAUCAUGUUUGUUAGUCAAAACCUGCUGAGUGAGUGAAGGAGGUUGGAGUCUCCAGUACUACAGAAUAAAAAGCCAAUUUCACUUUUAAGACUAUUAGGAAGGGGUUCGGUUUUGUUCAUAUGCGUGCUUUUGUCCUUGAGCUACUUAUCCAUUUAUAAAGUAUUAUG